AUUUAUAUAGCUUAUAUUAAAGCAUAACAUUGAAGUUGUUAGGAAAAACUAAGAAGUUUUAUAAAUG
rnacentral:tRNA from 1 species